rnacentral:lncRNA from 1 species
CCUUUAUAUCUCAUAAGUUGCUGCGUCUUUAACCAUUUCCUGAUCUCACCCUCCACCCCAUCCCGUGCCUUCCUCUUUUAAAAUCUCUGUGUGUAUGUGUCCCUGUGUGCUUGUGUGUGCCCAUGUAUGUGUCCAUGCCUGUGUGCAUGCCUGGAUACUGUGAAUGUAGCUGCAGACAGAUCAGGGCACUUGUGAGCUCAGAGGUUAAUCGUGGUGCAGGGCUUCAUCUUCCAUCUUGUUUCUCACUGCUUAUGCCAGGCUAGCUAGCUUUCGGGGACUCUUCUGUCUCUGUCCUCACAUGUCCUGGUAGGAGUGCUCGAAUUAUAGACAUGCUGCCCAGCUUCUGUCUUGCUUUUUCACCUGCCAUGACACUCGAAUAAUUGCUAUUACUUAGCUGGUUACCCGCUUCGAGUCAAUCACCCUGAGAUGUUGGUCUUCAUCCCCAACUUGACUAGAUUUAGAAUCACGUAGGAGGUACACAUCUAAGCACAUCUGUGGUGUUUUCAGAUAAAUUCAACUGUGUAAGGAAGAUCCAGUUACAUGUGGGCAACGGCAGCCAAUGGGCUGGGGCCUGAGAAUCAGCAUUCAUCCGUUUCUUGACUGUGUGACAGCCUGAAUCCAACCUCAGUGUGCCUCUGUCAGCCCCCAGUGUGUCCAGCAGAGUUCCCCUCCGCUUGGCCAGCUUCAUAAACAUUUGCUGAGUUGAGCUAGCUCCCACCUGGCCUGCUGCCAGGCUGAGAGUUGGAGAAAUUAAACAGCUUGCACCAGGUGGGAAACUAUGCUCACAGCCCCCAACACAUAAUGCGACCUUUCUUUCCAUUCCUUCAAGAUUAACAGGAUAGCUGGAAGUCCCGCUGGCCAUCGGACACUCGUUCAUUAGGUGCUAACUAUGUGUCAGGCACUGGGUACUGGGAUGCGAUGGUGAACAAGACAGCCACAGACCAGCUCUCCUUGGAAACUGAGCUCAGAGGUGGAAACCAACCUAAAUAAACGUGCCUGUUUGCCUUGAGACAAAGACUU